AAAAAUGAUGAAUGAGCUCGAGGAUCCCGAAGCACAUCCAUGGCGGAUAUAAAUUGCAAUCAAUCAAAGAAGGCGAUGAAUCCUUGACCCAAUCCAGUAAAUUUUCGAACGGCGAAGUUCAGUAUUGCUUCAUAGAUUAACCAAAUGAGUUCUUCUUCUUAUUCACUGCGUUCAUGCCCAAGCUCAAGUCUCUCUAUCAGGACCGGGAAAGCUUCGUGUUCUAGCAGACAUCUCUGCAAGCUAGGAUUCAGUCCGAAAUGGGCGUCGAUUAAUCCUAAACAAUGGAGAAAAUCGGCCAAUAGCUCUGGUCAUGAUUAUAGUUACGGGCCGGUGAGCUUUUGUGCUUUGAAAGAUGUUAAAUCUUCGUCUUCAACCUCGCGUAAUGGCGAUACUUUUGAGUUUGAUGUUGUGAUCAUUGGAGCGGGAAUUAUCGGGUUAACUAUUGCCCGGCAGUUUCUUAUGGAGUCGGAUAUGUCCGUCGCCGUCGUCGAUAAGGCCGUCCCUUGCUCUGGAGCUACUGGUGCAGGGCAGGGCUAUUUAUGGAUGGGGCACAAAUCCCCUGACAGUGACAUUUGGGAACUUGCUUUGAGAAGUCACAGGCUGUGGGAGAGUCUGGCUGAGUCCCUGCGUGAUCAAGGCUUGAAUCCCUCGGAAGAAUUGGGUUGGAAAAAGACAGGAAGCUUGUUAAUUGGUAAAACACCUGAAGAGCUUGACAUGUUAAAGAGGAAGGUAAAGCAACUUUCUGGGGCCGGACUAGAAGUUGAGUACUUAUCUGUUGCUGAUUUGCUUUCCAUGGAACCAGCUUUGCUGAUCGGAAACAGCUGCGGGGCUGCCUUUCUCCCCAAUGACUGCCAAUUGGAUGCUCAUUGUACUGCAGCAUUUAUCGAAAAGGCCAACAGAAAUUUUGAAGGAAGAUAUGCAGAAUUUUUUCAUGAUCCAGUUACAGGCUUAUUAAGAUCUGGUAGCAAUGGAAAGAUAGAAGCUGUUCAGACGGCCAAGACUACGUUGUACAGUAAGAAGGCAAUUGUUUUAGCAGCUGGUUGUUGGAGUGGGACUUUGCUGCGUGAUUUACUCAGGGAAGAAAAAACUGUUUUGGAUGUUCCCAUAAUGCCAAGAAAGGGCCACUUGCUUGUCAUCGAGAAUUUUAAUUCCUUUCAUGUUAAUCAUGGUUUGAUGGAGGUGGGCUAUGUUAAUCACCAAGCUUUAACUUCGGCUAAAGAUCUCGAACAUACCUCAUCCAUUUCAAUGACUGCCACUAUGGAUGUUCAAGGCAAUCUAGUACUUGGGAGCAGCCGUGAGUUUGCUGGUUUCAACACUGAUGUUAAUGAAUCCAUAAUUGCUCGUAUAUGGGAGAGAGCUUCAGAAUUCUUUCCCACGAUGAAAGAAAUCUCUUUUUCAGAGAUCAAAAGCAGCAGUAAAGUGAGAAUAGGUCUACGACCAUACAUGCUCGAUGGAAAGCCAGUGAUUGGGCCUGUUCCUGGUUUGUCAAAUGUGUUCCUUGCAUCUGGCCAUGAAGGUGGAGGACUUUCAAUGGCACUAGGAACUGCAGAAAUGAUUGUUAACAUGGUGCUGGGAAUUCCUGGGAAAGUUGAUCCCGCUCCUUUUUCAGUACAAGGACGAUGCUAAUAAAUGCUUACAAGUUAUGAUUUAAUAAUGGUAUCCUUGAUGGCUCCGAUCUCAUGUAAACCUGCCCCUUUUCCCAUUUCAAAGAGCCAACUUGUAGUUGAAGGUCAACAAUAUCGUAGCAACUCAGCAGUCCAUGCAUUCUUGGAGGGAGCACUAUGAGUGAUUCUCCUAAAAGCUUCUUGUAAAAGGAACAGAAGUUCGUAUGGGAUCUUGGCGGGACCGCUUCUGUUCUUGCGCUGUGUGAUGACAUCCUUCCCAGGUACAGUUCAUCCUUUGCGUGAUGUGAAAGGACCUCCGUCAAUGCAGCGUUAAGCGCAG